UUUCUCGCUCCUCUCCUCCAGUCUCCGCCUUCUCUCUAGGGUUCGAUACCCUAAUUUUUUUUUGUUCUUCGUUCUUCAGAAAUGGCUCUGUUUGUAUUCUUCCACAGCUUUCUUGAACUGCAUCUUCCUGAGCCAAAUUCGCUUCUCUCUCUCUCGAUCUCUCAAAGCGUUCUUUGUUCAUUAACUUUUGCGGUUCAAUAAAGCUGUGGGAAGAUACAGACAAGGUCAACGAAAUCGGCAAUCCAGAGAGAAAUUCGCCGUCUACAAUGACCUUCAAUCGCCGGCGCCGUCGGUUCCAUGGCAGGCAAAGCCAUAUAAUAUGCCUUUCGAUGAUGAUGAUGAUUAAUAUAUAAUUGAAGCAGUUGGUUUCGUUUCAUCAAAGGCUAUGGAUCUGUACUUUUACUGUGCCCGUAGAUAAACCAACAGUUUCUGAUAUUUUAGUGCGGCCAUAGAAUGGAUGGAGGUUGUAGGCUAUAAUGUUUUUCACCACUUUUUCAUCCAUUUUCUUUUUGUGAGUUUCUGUAAUGUCAGAUCUGUGUAGUGGUGUGUGGUUGAGCUGAAUUAUUAAAGAGGAGAAGGAUUAUUCUGUGCAGCAGAGUAAAUUUGAAACACCAAGUUAAUUCCUAUUGUAAUGAAUGCUCUAUAGGUUUAAGGUAUUAGGACCACUUAUCAGAAGAAGCCUUUAAUUGGCUCUUUUUUAGCUUCAAACUCCUUCAAUGCACACCAUACAAACCCCUUUUUUUCUCAUCCUGUCAUCUUCACCUAUCAUAUUCACUUUUAAUUUGUCUCUCUUUUGUUCUUUUAGUGAUUCAUUAAUGCACAAACUUUUGCUUCUUUUCUUA